AGUGAACGCUGGCGGCGUGCUUAAUACAUGCAAGUCGAAGGAAGUGGCGCACGGGUGAGUAAUAUAUAUCUGAUCUUCCCCUUGCUGGAGGACAACCUUCAGAAAUGACUGCUAAUACUCCAUAGCAAUGGAUGAGACCAUAACGUAUCAGCUAGUAGUCGGGGUAACGGUCUACCGAGGCUAUGACGCGUAACUGGUCUGAGAGGAUGAGCAGUAACAUUGGAACUGAGACACCGUCCAAAAUCCUACGGGAGGGAGCAGUAGUGUAUAUCGCGCAUUGGGGGAGACCCUGACGCGGCAACGCCGCGUGGAGGAUGACACUUAUCGAGGCAUAAACUCCUUUUGUUAGAGAAGCGGUACCUAACGAAGAAGCACCGGCUAACUCCGUGCCAGCAGCCGCGGUAAUUC
rnacentral:rRNA from 1 species